GUAGUCAUAUGCUUGUCUCAAAGAUUAAGCCAUGCAUGUCUAAGUAUAAGCAAUCUAUACAGCGAAACUGCGAAUGGCUCAUUAAAUCAGUUAUCGUUUAUUUGAUAGUACCUUACUACAUGGAUAACCGUGGUAAUUCUAGAGCUAAUACAUGCUAAAAAUCCCGACCUCUGGAAGGGAUGUAUUUAUUAGAUAAAAAACCAACGCCUUCGGGCUCCUUGGUGAUUCAUAAUAACUUCACGAAUCGCAUGGCCUUGUGCCGGCGAUGGUUCAUUCAAAUUUCUGCCCUAUCAACUUUCGAUGGUAGGAUAGUGGCCUACCAUGGUUUCAACGGGUAACGGGGAAU
rnacentral:rRNA from 1 species